rnacentral:rRNA from 1 species
AACAGGGGCAACCCUGAUCCAGCCAUGCCGCGUGAGUGAAGAAGGCCUUCGGGUUGUAAAGCUCUUUCGGCCGGGAAGAAAUCGUGCAGGCUAAUACCCUGUAUGGAUGACGGUACCGGAAUAAGAAGCACCGGCUAACUACGUGCCAGCAGCCGCGGUAAUACGUAGGGUGCGCGCGUUAAUCGGAAUUACUGGGCGUAAAGCGUGCGCAGGCGGUUUUGUAAGACAGGCGUGAAAUCCCCGGGCUCAACCUGGGAACUGCGCUUGUGACUGCAAGACUAGAGUACGGCAGAGGGGGGUGGAAUUCCACGUGUAGCAGUGAAAUGCGUAGAGAUGUGGAGGAAUACCGGUGGCGAAGGCGGCCCCCUGGACAAAGACUGACGCUCAGGUGCGAAAGCGUGGGGAGCAAA